GUACAGUGAGGAGACUGCAAACUUUAGAUGGCCGAACGCUUAAUCCUGGUGAAGAGCCGCCCAUGAUUCCUGCCUUCAUUGAAAGAGCUUACAAAAAUGAUUCUUCAGUUUCGCAGUCAACCCCUGAACAACAAAAGAAAUCAAUACCAACAGAACCUGUUACUGUUAAUACAAAGGAUGAACCUGCUUCCAAGGCUGUGGUACAAAAACCUGAAAUAAGCCAGACAAGUAAACCUAAAAAGCCUGCAAAACUUGCUCCUUCAGAGAAGAAGUCAGCAGAUCGAGUUUCUCGUUGGGGGGAUGAGUCCGAUGAAGAGAAGGAACCUAAUGAACCUGUGAGAACAAAGGAGGAAGACGAGCAGAUCUUAAAGGCUGAACAGGCGAGGAAGAAGGAAGAAGAAGCAAAGCUGAAGGAAAAGAAAAGGCUAGAGGAAAUUGAGAAAGCUAAGGAGGCACUGCAGAGGAAAAAGCGUAAUGCCGAAAAGGCCCAACAAAGGGCUCUCUAUAAGGCACAAAAAGAAGCUGAGCAAAAAGAGAAGGUAAUAACAUUAUGAGUUAAACUCGUAAAAUGAUUAGUUUAAUUACGCAUGUAAUCACAUUACAUUAUGAUUUCCGUUUGUCGUGAUUAAAUGUUUCUAAAUGUCUAUCCCAUUAAAUUAAAUGUGAUUAAUUGACCAUGGUAAAUAUUUUUUAUACUGCAGAGUGAAUAGUCAAUAAGCUUAAACUAAAAUUCAUUUACCGGUAGUUCUUCAGCUAUAUAAUAUAACCAUGCCUAUUUGUGCAGGAAAGGGAGAAAAGAGCAAAGAAGAAGGGAAAAAGAAAGACAGUUACUACUGAAGAUGCUGUGGAGAAUACAGAACAAGAUGCUGCAGCUUCUCCUAGCUCUGAAACUCUGACAAGAACUCUUGAAGAAUCUGAUCAGAUCGAGAAACCAGUUGAGGUAACAAAACGAGCAGUGAAACCAUCUCAAUUCACAAAACAAAACAAGGUGAAAGCUUUACCCAUGGCUAUUCGCAACCGUGGUAAGAGACGAAUUCAACCAUGGAUGUGGUGGGUUCUAAUUGCAG
rnacentral:lncRNA from 1 species